GAGUCUCUAACAUGUGCAGCCUCUGAUGAGGAGCAAGAAUGCCCCCUCUCAUCCAGCCUUGUCAGGGCCAAGUGAAAGAAGCCCGGGCAGGCCUGGGGAAGCUGCCCAAGGAGCCUCAGUAGUCAAUGCUGGCAUCGUUUCUCUCUCAGCCCCGUCUCUGUCACUUUGAAGCUUUCUACUGGUUUCCUUUGAGUCCCCUCAGCUCCCCAGUCAGAUCAAGGAAGAGCUGGUUGUUGCUUUCACAGACUUCAGGGGCAAGCAGAUCUGAGUACCUCGGGGGUCAAACAGACCUGCCCCAACCACAGCGUUGAAGAGGAGAUCCAUUUCCUAAAAAUGGGGGGAGACGGCUAUUGGUGGGAUACUCUAUUCACAUCUGUCUCCACUGCAUGUCUACAGAACGGCUCCCUGUAGUCUGGGAGUAGCGUUCCCUGGCUUCUCUGAGCUUCCUGCGGUCCACGAAAGGCUGUUUCCCUUGACAGAAGCCUUUCCUCUUCUUCCAUAUCUGGUUGACUGCAUGUCCUUUGGAGCCAGCCCUCUGGACUGAGGACUUGAAUCUCUGAUUAAUCCGCCCAGUACUCAGCUCCAUGGCCUCAGUGGUGUCCACGAGACUCUUGACACGGGACCUAUUCACAAGGGAAGGCACCUCCCCACAGAUGCACCUGAAAGCCGUGGACCCUGUGAUUCUCAGGAAUUCGGCUGACUGAUGGAGCAAUCCUUCCCACACGGGUGAAGGUGGAGGACUCCCCUUGACCCAGACACACGGGUAUUCCGUGAGUUUCUUGACGGUGCCAGUUCCUCUGAAGUAUGGAUUUUACUCCUUGGUGUUGUCUGAUUAGAUAAACUCUCCAAGAUAAAGAUCCGGAUAUAUUGGCAAGGGACCUGGCUUUUAGAAAACAUAUUCCUCAGAUUUAAAGUUGUAGGCCCUCUUUUCUCUCCAGAAACUCAGUCAUUUGCCCUGCAGAAUUUUCUACACUGUGGAUUUGCCUGACUACACCCUGUGGUGCUGUUCCUCUAUCUUGUUCUGGCAAGGAAGAGCCAAGCACCGCAUGACUCUUGUAGAAGAUGGACUUUGCAGACUGCAAAAGGGGAAAGGAAAGGGGCGUGUGAUGUUUGUAGGUGCCUUGGUAGAAAGUCCCUCUUUGCCUAGAAAUUAUUUAGGCAUCCUUUUAUAAUGCUUCUGGAAGAACAGAAAGAAAAAUCUAUUUCCUGAAUGAGAUAAGGAUGCUUUUCAUUGAGUGUCAGUAUUGAACCAGCCCCAACUGA